AAUCAACGCUGGCGGCGUGCCUCAGACAUGCAAGUCGAACGCGAAAGUCCCCCUUCGGGGGGAUGAUUAGAGUGGCGCACGGGUGAGUAACACGUAGGUAAUCUACCUUCGAGUGGGGAAUAACUCAGGGAAACUUGAGCUAAUACCGCAUAAUGCAGCGGCACCACAUGGUGACAGUUGUUAAAGCAUUUAUGCGCUUGAAGAGGAGCCUGCGGCAGAUAGCUAGUUGGUAAGGUAAUGGCUUACCAAGGCUACGAUCUGUAACCGGCCUGA
rnacentral:rRNA from 1 species